rnacentral:pre_miRNA from 1 species
UUAACUAAUAUUUGUAUGGAAUGGGAUCGUGUGCCUACGUUUGCCGCUAGGGGCGCUGUUCCAACUGCAUACAAAAUCGGGUUA